CCGAGACCCGCGGAGCUGCAGCCCAAGGUGAUGUGAACUAGUGUGCGGCAGAAAUUUGGACUGGACGAUGAUCACCAGAGGUCCCUUGAGAACAUCUCUGCCGGGGCUGCUAUAGCGACGCGGAGGACGCCGGCGCCGAGCGGAGCCGCAGGGA